UGGGGAAUUUUGGACAAUGGGCGCAAGCCUGAUCCAGCCAUUCCGCGUGCAGGACGAAGGCCUUCGGGUUGUAAACUGCUUUUGUACGGAACGAAAAGGCUCUGGCUAAUACCUGGGGCUCAUGACGGUACCGUAAGAAUAAGCAUCGGCUAACUCCGUGCCAGCAGCCGCGGUAAUACGGAGGAUGCAAGCGUUAUCCGGAUUCAUUGGGUUUAAAGGGUGCGUAGGCGGCUUUUUAAGUCAGUGGUGAAAUCCUGCCGCUUAACGGUAGAAGUGCCAUUGAUACUGAGAAGCUUGAGUUCAGUUGAGGUAAGCGGAAUGUGUAGUGUAGCGGUGAAAUGCUUAGAUAUUACACAGAACACCGAUUGCGAAGGCAGCUUACUAAACUGUUACUGACGCUGAUGCACGAAAGCGUGGGGAUCGAACA
rnacentral:rRNA from 1 species